UACGGGGGGGGGCAAGCGUUGUUCGGAAUUACUGGGCGUAAAGGGCUCGUAGGCGGCCAACUAAGUCAGACGUGAAAUCCCUCGGCUUAACCGGGGAACUGCGUCUGAUACUGGAUGGCUUGAGGUUGGGAGAGGGAUGCGGAAUUCCAGGUGUAGCGGUGAAAUGCGUAGAUAUCUGGAGGAACACCGGUGGCGAAGGCGGCAUCCCUGGACCAAUUCUGACGCUGAGGAGCGAAAGCCAGGGGAGCAAAGCGGG
rnacentral:rRNA from 1 species